CAGUAGCCGCGGUAAUAGGUAGGGUGCAAGCGUUAAUCGGAAUUACUGGGCGUAAAGCGUGCGCAGGCGGUCCGCUAAGACAGAUGUGAAAUCCCCGGGCUUAACCUGGGAACUGCAUUUGUGACUGGCGGGCUAGAGUAUGGCAGAGGGGGGUAGAAUUCCACGUGUAGCAGUGAAAUGCGUAGAGAUGUGGAGGAAUACCGAUGGCGAAGGCAGCCCCCUGGGCCAAUACUGACGCUCAUGCACGAAAGCGUGGGGAGCAAACAGGAUUAGAUACCCCUGUAGUCCCUGUCUCUUAUAC
rnacentral:rRNA from 1 species